rnacentral:rRNA from 1 species
UACGUAGGGUGCAAGCGUUAAUCGGAAUUACUGGGCGUAAAGCGUGCGCAGGCGGUCUCGUAAGACAGGUGUGAAAUCCCCGGGCUUAACCUGGGAACUGCGCUUGUGGCUGCGAGGCUGGAGUGCGGAAGAGGGAGGUGGAAUUCCACGUGUAGCAGUGAAAUGCGUAGAGAUGUGGAGGAACACCGAUGGCGAAGGCAGCCUCCUGGUCUAGCACUGACGCUCAUGCACGAAAGCGUGGGGAGCAAACAGG